UGAUUAACCUAUUUUAUUGUUACGUUCCUUUUUUUCCCCCUUUUUUUUUAAAAUGUUUUAUUUUAUUUAUAAAAUACAAAAAAGUCCAACCAUACAACAAUCAGGACAGGAAGAGGACAAGCCUGCAUUUCCCAUUCCAGCAGGUGUUUCUCAUCACAGAUCAGCAACCACCACCUGUCUGUCAAGUAUUCAAAGCCCCAGCCUGAACAGCUCACGGGACGGAAUCGUCCAGAAGACGCAUCUCAAGUCAAAGACUACCAAGGUGGAUGGAAACAUCUGAUCUGUGGUUAAAAGGGGGACAUGUCGGGUUGCUUAACACCGGCAACUCUCCCAGAAUUCACAGGUUUUCAAGAAAUCACAGUAGGAAGUUUUCUCAGGAUAAAGGAUAGAAGAAACAGGUCACCUGGAAUCGUCCGACCGAGAAUUUUCGACCGAGAAUUUUCGGAGAACCUGGGAAUUUUGUGGAAAGUUACAGGAAUUUUGUAAUCCCAGUGAUUUGAAUAGAGCAGAUGACUACAGGGUCUAAACACAACGCUCUGUUCGACUUCACGGUCAAAUGGGACUUUCAAAGCUUCUUAUGGAAAUGUCUGUUACGUCAUGUUCUGUUAAAACCCUCAUUCUGUGGGACAGGUCAUGUUGAAGACUGGUCUGGCAUGUUCUGUUAAAACCCUUGUGUUCUGUGGGACAGGUCAUGUUGAAGACUGGUCUGUCUGUUACGUCAUGUUCUGUUAAAACCCUUGUGUUCUGUGGGACAGGUCAUGUUGAAGACUGGUCUGUCAUGUUCUGUUAAAACCCUUGUGUUCUGUGGGACAGGUCAUGUUGAAGACUGGUCUGUCAUGUUCUGUUAAAACCCUUGUGUUCUGUGGGACAGGUCAUGUUGAAGACUGGUCUGUCAUGUUCUGUUAAAACCCUUGUGUUCUGUGGGACAGGUCAUGUUGAAGACUGGUCUGUCAUGUUCUUUUAAAACCCUUGUGUUCUGUGGGACAGGUCAUGUUGAAGACUGGUCUGUCAUGUUCUGUGGGACAGGUCAUGUUGAAGACUGGUCUAUCAUGUUCUGUGGGACAGGUCAUGUUGAAGACUGGUCUGUCAUGUUCUGUGGGACAGGUCAUGUUGAAGACUGGUCUGUCAUGUUCUUUUAAAACCCUUGUGUUCUGUGGGACAGGUCAUGUUGAAGACUGGUCUGUCAUGUUCUGUUAAAACCCUUGUGUUCUGUGGGACAGGUCAUGUUGAAGACUGGUCUGUCAUGUUCUGUGGGACAGGUCAUGUUGAAGACUGGUCUGUCAUGUUCUGUGGGACAGGUCAUGUUGAAGACUGGUCUGUCAUGUUCUGUGGGACAGGUCAUGUUGAAGACUGGUCUGUCAUGUUCUGUGGGACAGGUCAUGUUGAAGACUGGUCUGUCAUGUUCUGUUAAAACCCUUGUGUUCUGUGGGACAGGUCAGGUUGAAGACUGGUCUGUCAUGUUCUUUUAAAACCCUUGUGUUCUGUGGGACAGGUCAUGUUGAAGACUGGUCUGUCAUGUUCUGUGGGACAGGUCAUGUUGAAGACUGGUCUGUCAUGUUCUGUGGGACAGGUCAUGUUGAAGACUGGUCUGUCAUGUUCUGUGGGACAGGUCAUGUUGAAGACUGGUCUGUCAUGUUCUGUGGGACAGGUCAUGUUGAAGACUGGUCUGUCAUGUUCUGUGGGACAGGUCAUGUUGAAGACUGGUCUGUCAUGUUCUGUGGGACAGGUCAUGUUGAAGACUGGUCUGUCUGCCCAUGCAUUAAAACCCUUUGUGUGUUCCAAAUGACAGCCUAUUCC